CAAAAUUUCACUCAUGGAGACAUCAUCAAUUCCGGCGAAGGGCUGCAAAAUUUAGGUCUAUGCUCGGCGCUUAUGGCCUUUGAGCAGGGAGGGAUUUUUAUCUUGCCACAAAACAUUCUUGGGAAAAGGGGAUUCAUGUUUGUUCAAAUGAAGCAGCGUGUCAACUUGAAAGGGGUAAUUAUACAGUGAAACUUCUCCAAAUCGGCCCCUCAGAAAACCAUUCCUCUCUGAAUAUCGCCCAAUUCUUAAAGUCUCUGUAGGAAUCUUAACAUAUCCUUUCAAAGAAAUUCAUAUAGUCCAAAAUGUGACUUAUCGAGAUUUCCGCCAUUUUUGACAAGGGACUUCUGGGAUGAUCCUCAGUUAAAGGUUCAGAUUUAGCUCGGAUUAUUCUGUGCUCUUUAGUCAUUGGACCUUGCAGUAUGAGCCAGAGCACUGCGCUCGCUAUUAGUAUGCAAGUAGCUGCAUUUAAUUCAAAUUGAAGUUGAACACAAGGACCCCAGGGGUAGGGUGGGGGCAGAAUAUGGAAUCAGAGUUUUAUAUGGUAAUAUGCAGAAAAUUUAUUAAAACAAAGACUUUUCAAGAGUAGCAGGGCCACACUAAAUCAUAUCCAAAUGCAAAUGUCCCCAAGUUGUGUGAAAACAAGGUUUUUUUAUGACCCUGACUAAGGAUGGGGUGGAAUUGUUUUUGUCCUGUCUGUCUGAAAUUUUAACCUUCCUCAUAACUUUUAAAUAAUGAGCAAUGGGGCUCUCAUAUUUGCAUUCUUUUUUAUAGCCAUAAAGUCUUUCACCUCGUGACCUUGACAUUAGAGUUUCAUCUACUGACCGGUUUAGCUUUCUGGACCUUAAAAGAUGUUGACACCCUGCUGAUGGAGCAGAUCCUAUUUCUUAGAAGCAGAAAGCAGUUCUCUUACCAUCAGAUCUGAUCCAUUUUUGGAGAUAGCCUUUUGUAUGGAGCUGGGUAACGGUUACUGGAGACAUGCUGUUGAUUGAUGAGGAUAAUUUUCCCGAGACUCUGACAUAUUGCAGGACCUGGAUAGCUCUACUGGUGUUCAAAAUGCCAGGACUGUGGAGUGUUGUGAUGUUAUUGAUGGUCAACAGAAGACUGUGACCUUGAAUCUGAAGAUCUGUGAUGAAGACUGGACGUUUGGGGUCACUCUCUGUUACAGUACUACAAAUCUAACAGUGUGACGCUCAGCCACAAAGAGGUUGUCUCUGAUGUCCACACAUAAACCGAAUGGAGACUCUAAAUAACAGUGAAUGUAACGGAGGAACUGUCCGUCCUGAUCUAGGAUGUGGAUACGGUCAUUGUCAAAGUCUGCU